rnacentral:rRNA from 1 species
CCUACGGGGGGCAGCAGUAGGGAAUCUUUCACAAUGAGCGAAAGCCUGAUGGAGCAACGCCGCGUGCAGGAUGAAGGCCUUCGGGUUGUAAACUGCUUUUAUAAGCGAGAAAUAUGAUGGUAACUUAUGAAUAAGGAUCGGCUAACUACGUGCCAGCAGCCGCGGUCAUACGUAGGAUCCGAGCAUUAUCCGGUGUGACUGGGUGUAAAGAGUUGCGUAGGUGGCAUAAUAAGUAGCUAGUGAAAUCUGGUGGCUCAACCAUUCAGACUAUUAGCUAAACUGUUAAGCUCGAGACCGUUAGGGGUAAGUGGAAUUUCAAGUGUAGGAGUGAAAUGCGUAGAUAUUAGAAAGAACACCGAUAGCGUAGGCAGGUUACUGGGACGGUUCUGACACUAAGGGACGAAAGCGUAGGGAGCAAACGGGAUUAGAUACCCGGGUAGUC